rnacentral:rRNA from 1 species
AGUGAACGCUGGCGGUAGGCCUAACACAUGCAAGUCGAACGGCAGCACAGUAAGAGCUUGCUCUUACGGGUGGCGAGUGGCGGACGGGUGAGGAAUACAUCGGAAUCUACUUUUUCGUGGGGGAUAACGUAGGGAAACUUACGCUAAUACCGCAUACGACCUACGGGUGAAAGCAGGGGAUCUUCGGACCUUGCGCGAUUGAAUGGGCCGAUGUCGGAUUAGCUAGUUGGCGGGGUAAAGGCCCACCAAGGAGACGAUCCGUAGCUGGUCUGAGAGGAUGAUCAGCCACACUGGAACUGAGACACGGUCCAGACUCCUACGGGAGGCAGCAGUGGGGAAUAUUGGACAAUGGGCGCAAGCCUGAUCCAGCCAUACCGCGUGGGUGAAGAAGGCCUUCGGGUUGUAAAGCCCUUUUGUUGGGAAAGAAAAGCAGCAGGUUAAUACCCCGCUGUUCUGACGGUACCCAAAGAAUAAGCACCGGCUAACUUCGUG